GCCGGGCAUGGAGGCGCAUGCCUGUAAUCCCAGCUACUCGGGAGGCUGAGGCAGGAGAAUUGUGUGAAUCCGGGAGGUGGAGGUUGCAGUGAGCCAAGAUCAUGCCACUGCCCUCCAGCCUGGGCGACAGAGCAAGACUCUGUCUCAA
rnacentral:SRP_RNA from 1 species